AUGACAUUAGCUUCAGCGGUGCGUGUUGCCGUGUUCGCUUCAUGUCAGCAAAGUUACACAGGUGGAAAACAUUCAGUGUCCCGAGGCCAGACUGGAUGUCCUCUCCAGGGUAGAAAAGCUAACUUAAACUGCCCGGUAACGUUAAGCGACGCCUGUGACCAACGGCUGAGGGGCCAGGCUGAGUGUUGGAGCCAACCAGGUGGAUCUGCUUACGCUUCCCUGGGACCUGCUGUCGCGGCUGGGAUCAAUGCCGUUGAGCCUGGAGGAAGAGGAGCGGGCGGGCGGCCAAGUGGAAUGGCUGGAGGAAGCCCCCCGACCGCGGCUCCGGUGACGCUGUCACAUAAGAGGCCCCCGCGGAGACAAAGAGGGAUGUGCCGCCCGGCGCUGGAGCCAUGUGGAACGCCGGCCGCCGGUCCUCAGAGGUUGAAGAGGACAGAGGUAAUGGAUCCAGCGGGCUCCGGUUCACGACAGGAAAAACCCAGAGUGCCGUCGACGGUUAGCCGGGUUGUCAGUCAGACAUAUUGGCACUUCCCACCUGGGGGGUCAGAGUGAGACGGUCAAACAUUCUCACAAAGACAGAAUUCACUGAGGAGCCACUGAACCCACGGCAUUCUGGGAGGAGAGCCAAAGGAGACGACGGCAGAAUCCUCAGAAAUCAGCACUUAGCAUAAGAGUUUACGAGAAAGUUGGGGUUUAUUGAUAACGCAGCUGCUGACAGGAGCAGCAGGAUUAGAUCUGGGCCGCACGGAUCUAUACUCCCCGGCCGAGCCGACGCCACGUCGCCGCCGGGCAGGACGAUGUGACGACACGAGACCCACAAACAGGCAGCGACUGUGCGAAGGUGAUUGGGGGAAAAAAAAGGGAUUUUCUAUUUUCAUCGUUGCUUCUCUUCGUCUCCGAAGCCUUUGAGCGGUUUGGAAAGUUGGGACAGAAUCAAAAAUUACUUCCUGACUUCCUCAGAUGAGCGCCGCUGGACCCCGAUGGGCCGUAAAAAGGUCAUUUCAAUAGCCCGCCGAGCUCUGAAGGUCAUCGGGAGCACGCCAGUGUCCAGUUCAGGGUCUCCAGUUGGGUUUCGCUGCAAGUGAAGAUACCAGGAAUCAGCAAGCGGAGGCUCACCGAGUGGCUUUGAUCUGUCCGUACUGCAGAGUACUGCAGUGAAAUAAAGAUCAAAGCAAAAGUUCACAGGCUUUGAUUCCCUUCUCUUUCCUUCCAGGUUGGAAUUUGUUGGUUGCAUCUCAUUAAACUCCGCCCAGGAGAGACGAGAUGAGAGAUUUCACACAGCUUUUAUGGAGCGUUAAGCAUAAAGAAGGCAGAAACUGAGAAUAAUCCCGCCCUCCACUCUGGUUCCUGGGCUCCACGCAGACGGGAACCAGAGUGAUUCCAGUUUCCUGGUCCUCCGUUGGUGCUGUCAUUGGCUAAUUUCUGAAAUCUUUGAAUCAGCUCUGUAGGAAAUGUUCAGAAGUGGGUAAACGUGCACCUCAAAGUCCCUCAAACUCCACGUGAAAUCUGAAUUUAAUCCAUUUGGUGUCGCCUCCUCUCCGGUUCCUGUGAAACCUAAACUCUUUACAUUUAAUAUCUCGCCAACAUUCCCUUCUCUUCCUGCGGUGGGUCCACAUGAAAGCUCGCCUGUGCCAUCUGCACUCGCCUCUGGACAUGAAAACGUAUUCAUUUCUGGGGAAAAGAAGCAGAACAGUGGAAAAAAGAGCCGUUUGCGUGCACUGUGUGAUAUUCCCUCCCAUUAACACUGCUGGCGGGUAUUACAUUUUCAAUGGUUAUUCUAUAAAUUGCUCUUCUUUCUCUUUUCUUUC
rnacentral:lncRNA from 1 species